rnacentral:rRNA from 1 species
UACGGGGGGGGCAAGCGUUGUUCGGAAUUACUGGGCGUAAAGGGCUCGUAGGCGGCCAACUAAGUCGGAUGUGAAAUCCCCAGGCUUAACCUGGGAACUGCAUCCGAUACUGGAUGGCUUGAAUUCGGGAGAGGGAUGCAGAAUUCCAGGUGUAGCGGUGAAAUGCGUAGAUAUCGUUUGGAACGCCGAUGGUGAAAACAGGUUGCUGGGGCUGUGCUGACGCUGAGACACGAAAGCCAGGGGAGCGAACGGG